GAUGAACGCUGGCGGCGUGCCUAAUACAUGCAAGUCGAGCGAAUGGAUUAAGAGCUUGCUCUUAUGAAGUUAGCGGCGGACGGGUGAGUAACACGUGGGUAACCUGCCCAUAAGACUGGGAUAACUCCGGGAAACCGGGGCUAAUACCGGAUAACAUUUUGAACCGCAUGGUUUGAAAUUGAAAGGCGGCUUCGGCUGUCACUUAUGGAUGGACCCGCGUCGCAUUAGCUAGUUGGUGAGGUAAAGGCUCACCAAGGCAACGAUGCGUAGCCGACCUGAGAGGGUGAUCGGCCACACUGGGACUGAGACACGGCCCAGACUCCUACGGGAGGCAGCAGUAGGGAAUCUUCCGCAAUGGACGAAAGUCUGACGGAGCAACGCCGCGUGAGUGAUGAAGGCUUUCGGGUCGUAAAACUCUGUUGUUAGGGAAGAACAAGUGCUAGUUGAAUAAGCUGGCACCUUGACGGUACCUAACCAGAAAGCCACGGCUAACUACGUGCCAGCCGCCGCGGUAA
rnacentral:rRNA from 1 species